rnacentral:rRNA from 1 species
CCUACGGGUGGCAGCAGUGGGGAAUAUUGGACAAUGGGCGAAAGCCUGAUCCAGCCAUGCCGCGUGUGUGAAGAAGGCCUUCGGGUUGUAAAGCACUUUCAGUGGGGAAGAAAGCCUUGGGGCUAAUACCCUCGAGGAAGGACAUCACCCACAGAAGAAGCACCGGCUAACUCCGUGCCAGCAGCCGCGGUAAUACGGAGGGUGUGAGCGUUAAUCGGAAUUACUGGGCGUAAAGCGCGCGUAGGCGGUCUGAUAAGCCGGUUGUGAAAGCCCCGGGCUCAACCUGGGAACGGCAUCCGGAACUGUCAGGCUAGAGUGCAGGAGAGGAAGGUAGAAUUCCCGGUGUAGCGGUGAAAUGCGUAGAGAUCGGGAGGAAUACCAGUGGCGAAGGCGGCCUUCUGGACUGACACUGACGCUGAGGUGCGAAAGCGUGGGUAGCAAACAGGAUUAGAUACCCCGGUAGUC